UACAGAGGGGGCGAGCGUUAUUCGGAAUUAUUGGGCGUAAAGGGCGCGUAGGCGGUGUGUCAAGUCAGGCGUGAAAGCCCCGGGCUCAACCUGGGAACCGCGCUUGAGACUGGCACGCUCGAGUUCGGGAGAGGAUGGUGGAAUUCCCAGUGUAGAGGUGAAAUUCGUAGAUAUUGGGAAGAACACCGAUGGCGAAGGCAGCCAUCUGGACCGACACUGACGCUGAGGCGCGAAAGCGUGGGGAGCAAACAGG
rnacentral:rRNA from 1 species